rnacentral:rRNA from 1 species
UACAGAGGGUGCGAGCGUUAAUCGGAAUUACUGGGCGUAAAGCGCGCGUAGGCGGCUUUGCAAGUCGGGGGUGAAAUCCCCAGGCUUAACCUGGGAACUGCAUUCGAGACUGCAUUGCUAGAGUAUGGGAGAGGGAAGUGGAAUUUCCGGUGUAGCGGUGAAAUGCGUAGAUAUCGGGAGGAACACCUGUGGCGAAGGCGGCCCCCUGGUUGGAUACUGACGCUGAUACGCGAAAGCGUGGGGAGCAAACAGG